rnacentral:lncRNA from 1 species
AAUUAGGUUUCAGGUUGUGAAAAUCCAAAUUGUUUUUCCAUUCCACGGACAAGCUAUAGAAUUAGAUGCCUAUCCUGGCUACGGUCAGAGGAAAGAAAAUGGGUGAGAACCAAUUCCAGGGAACGACCCACGGAGUUUUUAUUCUCAAGAAUACCAAACAGAACUUGCAGGGUCCUUUGUGUGGUGGAGGGAGGCAGCUGCUGUGGAUGAGUCAUGGAAAGGCCAUGUGCAAGGGAAAGACCUUGAGGUUAUCUCCGGAGAGGGGUUGGUUGUAAACAUCCUCAAUGGCACCUUUGUUUUAUCCCACUAGUUGCCAAAUACCUGUGAUUCUGCACAGCGCUCCUGGAAUGCUCAGAAAUUAUGACUGGUUACUCUGUCAAAGAAAGUCUUUGUUGUAGAAACUUCCUCAUUUGUUCAGGCCUUUGGGUUCUAAGCCCUGAGCCAUAGUCUCCCCCGGUUGUUUGCCUGUGUGGGCUAGGGAGGGUGACUGAUGUUCACCGUGGGGUGACCACCUUGUCCUGGUUUGGCAGCUGCCUUCCUGCCUUUAGCAGUGACAGUAAAGCAAACCCAGGCGGUUGGUCAUCUCGGUGCACUGAGCUGUACACACCAGGGACAGUGCUGGAUCCUCACGCAGGUUCAAUGAGCUGGGCGAUUUGAGGUGGUAGAUGCCGUCUUCACAUGAUUAAUCAUUUUGUUCUUGGCAUUUUCCUAGUAGGUCUCCCUGCUUCCUUUUGCCAGAAAAGGUAAAGUUCUGGAGAAAGAGGUUUUUUCUUGGCUUUUGAGUUCAGGCCUUACAGAGGUAAAACCGAGUAGAUGUGGGAGAACAUGUGGUAAACAGAUACAACUUUCCCGGGAUGGGGAGAGAAAAAUAGUGAAACUCCAUCUCCACUAAAAAUACAAAAACUAGCCCGGCGUGGUGGCACGCGCCUGUAAUCCCAACUACUUGGGAGGCUGCGGCAGGUGAAUCACUUGAAGCCGGGAGGUGAAGGCCGCAGUAACGCUGUUCCCUGCAUUGGAUGAAGUGCUCCCCACCAAACUCUCUCACCGGAGAGGGUGGGAUCUGCGGGCUCCCUGGGUGGCUUGAUUUCGACACCCUGUGGGCUGCCUUCCACUCUGGUACUUUCCUCUGCCUGCUGAUGCUUGAAAUUCCUUGAACCGGCCACACACACCUGCUUUCUGGAAUCAGAACACUGGAAAGGCUUCCUGGGACGGGAGAAGAGUGAUUUACAUUCCUGCCGAGGUGUAAAGCUGCGGAUGGCAGGUUCUCUCCUGAGAACCGGCUUCAACUAGGAGGAGGAGGUUGGAAGCAGGACCCCGAGCUGACCUGUUGACCAGGAGAGGAGCAGCAGUGAGGAUGCCAGAGUUCAUGGGUUUCUAGAAGACAAGUUUUCAACUGCAGAUACAAACAUCAGGACGUCAAUGUAUCUGCUAGGAGACACCCGGACAGUGUUGAGAACACAGAACCUGGAGGCUAAACCCCCAGCUUUCUAUGCCAGCUGAGAGUCUGUGGGCACAUUACUCAGCGUCUCUGAACCUCAUGCUCCUCCCCUGUGACAUGUAGAUUGCUAAACCCAUCUCACAGGGCUAUCUUCUGCAUUUAAAGAAUAAAAUAACACAUGAGGGGUCUAUCAAUGUUUCUGACCUAUUUAUUUAUUGUUAAUCCUUUCUCUACACCGAAUACUCUAACUAACCUUUUGGAUUCUCACUUAAUGAGAAAAAGCAAAAUUAACUUGAGCAGCUUUGCUAUGAACAUUUGCAAGUAGUUUCAGGUGGGAAUUUGCCUUCAUGGAGAAGAGUGAGUGGAUCUACAUGGCACAAACUAUUUCUUGACAACUCAAAAGUCAUUCCCAAUCUCCUUUCCCCUCAGGACCUCUUGCUCAGAGGCCAGAGCACCAAACGCUUGCUUGUACGGACCAUGCAAGUCACUUCCGCCCCAUCCAUUCUCUCAUGCUUCUAUGCAUUACUCAACAGAGAGUAUGAGGACAUUUAGUAUGUGCCAGGCACUAUUUUGGUCACAGAGGAGACAGACAGAAAGGAGAAAUAGGUACAGUCAUGCUCCACAUGAAGAUGUUUUGGACAAUGACAGAUGGCAUAUACAAUGGUGAUCCCAUAAGAUUAGAAGCCCAUAUUUUUACUGUACUUUUUCUAUGUUAGAAUAUGUUUAGAUACAGAAACACUUACCAUUGUGUUAAAAUUGCCUAU